UACAGAGGGUGCAAGCGUUGUUCGGAAUUACUGGGCGUAAAGAGCGCGCAGGCGGUCGUUCAAGUCGAGUGUGAAAGCCCCCGGCUCAACUGGGGAGGGUCAUUCGAUACUGAUCGACUCGAAGGCAGGAGAGGGAAGUGGAAUUCCCGGUGUAGUGGUGAAAUGCGUAGAUAUCGGGAGGAACACCAGUGGCGAAGGCGACUUCCUGGCCUGUUCUUGACGCUGAGGCGCGAAAGCUAGGGGAGCAAAUGGGG
rnacentral:rRNA from 1 species